rnacentral:rRNA from 1 species
UACAGAGGGGGCAAGCGUUAUUCGGAAUUAUUGGGCGUAAAGGGCGCGUAGGCGGCUUGGCAAGUGGAUGGUGAAAUCCCUCGGCUUAACCGAGGAACUGCCGUCCAAACUGCUUCGCUUGAGACCGGGAGAGGUGAGUGGAAUUCAUGGUGUAGCAGUGAAAUGCGUAGAGAUCAUGAGGAAGACCAGUGGCGAAGGCGGGUCUCUGGACAGUUCCUGACACUGAGGCACGAAGGCCAGGGGAGCAAACGGG